rnacentral:rRNA from 1 species
UAGUCAUAUGCUUGUCUCAAAGAUUAAGCCAUGCAUGUCUAAGUAUAAACUGAAUUUAUACGGUGAGACUGCGGAUGGCUCAUUAAAUCAGUUAUAGUUUAUUUGAUGGUCCUUUUUUUUCUUUUUUACUACUUGGAUAACCGUGGUAAUUCUAGAGCUAAUACAUGCGUAAGGUCCUGAUCUGCCUGGUUUUUCGUUUCAUUGUGUGUCAGUGUUCGCGCACUGGCGCACAGGCGGGCCUUUGGUAGAAAGGGAUGUAUUUAUUAGGUAAAAAAAC